GAGAGUUUGAUCCUGGCUCAGAACGAACGCUGGCGGCAUGCCUAACACAUGCAAGUCGAACGAGACCUUCGGGUCUAGUGGCGCACGGGUGCGUAACGCGUGGGAACCUGCCCUUAGGUUCGGAAUAACUCAGAGAAAUUUGAGCUAAUACCGGAUAAUGUCUUCGGACCAAAGAUUUAUCGCCUUUGGAUGGGCCCGCGUUGGAUUAGCUAGUUGGUGGGGUAAAGGCCUACCAAGGCGACGAUC
rnacentral:rRNA from 1 species